UACGGAGGAUGCGAGCGUUAUCCGGAUUUAUUGGGUUUAAAGGGUGCGUAGGCGGCGAGUUAAGUCAGCGGUAAAAGCCCGGGGCUCAACCCCGGCCCGCCGUUGAAACUGGCUGGCUUGAGUUGGGGAAAGGCAGGCGGAAUGCGCGGUGUAGCGGUGAAAUGCAUAGAUAUCGCGCAGAACCCCGAUUGCGAAGGCAGCCUGCCGGCCCCACACUGACGCUGAGGCACGAAAGCGUGGGUAUCGAACAG
rnacentral:rRNA from 1 species